CUCGCAACACUGUCCGCAUGAUGUUUGACGGAGUGGACGGAGUAGAGGGAGCCAUUUUUGUUUUGUUGCGGAGCAGUCGAUUCUUCAAUUUUAUGUUAAAAAUUCGUGAAAAAUCUUAAAGAUGUCCCAACAAACAGUGCUUACAUUGUUUAUGAGUGAAAUAACUGUGGUCCCGGAAGGAACAAUCCACCGGAAUCCACCCGGUGUGAGGUUCGUACCCCGUAAAGUACACGGCGGACGGCAGGUUACCAUCAUGUGGCCAAAAGAGUAAGAACACACCAGUGUGGCUCGAAUGAAUUCCAGAACGGACCUAGCUAGCGCCUACAGUGAAACGGAUCGAUACGAAACGAGUAUGAACGAGCUUUGUGAAUUAUUCUACUGUUUGGUGAAGGAAUCUAAACACAUCCUCGAGUGCCUUCAGGAAGGGUCUACUGCGGUUCCUCGGAUAAUUGUUUAAAACAUUAAAAAAUGUACUACAUGUUGUAAUAAAAAAAAGUUGACGAUUUAAAUGAA